rnacentral:rRNA from 1 species
ACAUGCCUACAACAUAGCGUUAAUGCACGGGAUCCCAUUAGAACUCCAUAGUUAAGCGCGCUUAGGCUAGAGUAGUUCUGCAGUGGGUGAUCGUCUGGGAAGUCCUAGUGUUUUACAUGCC